AUUGAACGCUGGCGGCAGGCCUAACACAUGCAAGUCGAACGAGUGGCGGACGGGUGAGUAAUGUCUGGGAAACUGCCUGAUGGAGGGGGAUAACUACUGGAAACGGUAGCUAAUACCGCAUACCAUCAGAUGUGCCCAGAUGGGAUUAGCUUGUUGGUGGGGUCACGGCUCACCAAGGCGACGAUCCCUAGCUGGUCUGAGACGAUGACGAGCAACAAUGGAACGGAGAAAGGGUCCAGAAGCCUAGGGGAGGAAGCAGUGGGGAAAAUGGCAAAAGGGUCGCAAGCCUGAGGCAGCCAUGCAGGGUGUAGGAAGAAGGCCUUCGUGUUGUAAAGUACUUGCAGCGGGGAGGCGUUACCCGCAGAAGAAGCACCGGCUAACGCCGUGCCAGCAGCCGCGGUAAUAC
rnacentral:rRNA from 1 species